rnacentral:rRNA from 1 species
AGGACUAACGCUGGCGGCGUGCCUAACACAUGCAAGUCGAACGAGGUGGCAAUACCUAGUGGCAGACGGGUGAGUAACGCGUGGUCAACCUACCUCUUAGUGGGGGAUAACUAGCCGAAAGGUUAGCUAAUACCGCAUACGAUCGUCGCGAGGCAUCUCGUGACGAUGAAAGGAGCAAUUCGCUAAGAGAGGGGACUGCGUCCCAUUAGUUAGUUGGCGGGGUAAUGGCCCACCAAGGCUUUGAUCGGUA